UGCUAAAUGGUAAAUAUCAUUGCAAUAAUGAAGGUUUGAUUACAUGUUAGUGCAACCACAAUCUGCUUUUCAGCUAUUCUGAAAGCUUAGAGGUGCAAAAAAGUUUAAAAAAACUUCUAAACUCCAAAGAAAUUAUGUUCAAGUCUUAACCAAAAUGAUGGAAGCUUUGAACAUAAUACCAAACUAGAACAAAAGACUAACAAUUGAUCUCCCCCUCCAAGUCUUCUCGUAGUACUGGAACAACCAGAGGUAACAAGGGUAAAGCCAUAAGAGAAGUAUAGUCAGGUCUCACCGAAGUGGCUCCAAGCAGGCACCGACGGUAACGACUGGCUCCCAUCCCGGAGCUCCGCUGGAGGAGGACGCUGACCAACAAAACUUAAGCUUUCUCGGCACUUGCUAACAUGUAGACCCGACUUCGACGCCAUUUGAAGAUAAAACAAAGGUUACGGUCAAGCGCAGACGGUCGAUUUUGGCCCCCUAUCCGCCUACGCGACACAAUGGGCACAACGUCGGCCUCAGGACACACGGAAACAAGGACCAAAGCUUAGGAGGAUGAAAUUGAUGAACAGAAGAAGUGAAUACUCCUUAAAAGCAUAUGGCUUUGGGUAAAAAGAGUCUCCUCCUUGAAGCAGUUGACGCCGUAGCUUUGGGUUGUCCUCAAGACCCAAGUGAACAACAUCGGACGCAAGAAGGAGUUACCAAACUAGAAACCCGAGAUCACCAUGGUUGAUGUCUUUCGAACUAAGGGAAGAGGUCCUCGGUGGCUUACCUCACAACCACCUUUCACUCACGAAGAGAGGAGAAUCCCUACAACAACCUUGGAGCCACACAAAAGAAGGAACAUACUGGAGUGAGACGAUGAGGUGGAAGCGGUGACAGCAGCGAUGCAUCAUGCGUUCCAGCGAGUCUCAGAUCUCAGAUCUGACCCAGAUCCAAGCACAAUCGGUGACUAAAGGUCGAUCCAAGGCUCCCGAAGCUUACCUCAACAAACCGGACCUCGUUCGUGUUCCAGAGAGACCAAAGACGCCUUCGAUUUCAGUUUACUUCGACGGUGAAGACCAAUCGAACCCAGACACAACGAACAAAGAGGAGAGAAGAGAGGAGGAAGCGAAGGGAUGAGACGGAAUGCUUAAAACGGACAGUAGAUGUGCGGUGGCCGGAGACGAGGCUCAAACAGCCACCACAAGAAAGAGCUUUCUGUUGGCGAAAUUAGGGCUUGACGGCUGCUAUGGGGAGCGUUGAGGUUUUAAAAGAGACAAAAACUACUAACUAAAUAUUUUAACCUCCUCUGGUUGUGGACUAUUGAGUUGUGUAUAGGGAAAGUUGUAGAUAUGUGAACUGUGGAUGUGCUACCUUUGGAUGCAUGAGUUGUGGACAUAGGUGUAAGAAAAAAUUGUGGAUCGUGGACAUGAAAAUUCAAUCUCAAUGGGUUCACGAGUCGUGGACAUGAAAUUUUAUGGACGGGAUCUUCUGGACGGAUUGAUGUGGACGGGUAUGUGCGGAUAUGUUUGUAUAUAAAUUUACAACCUGUGCAUAUAUAAAAUUGGAUUCGCAUACACGAUUUUGAUUCAGCGACACAUAAAUGGAGUUUUACAACCUUUAGUUAAUCUUGAAAGAACAUGUAAAUGAUUUUCUAAAGUUUAAUGGAGUUUGAAUUGUUGGAAAAAAAACAGUCCCAGAAAAUACGUAUUAGUUGUGUUGUUCUUG
rnacentral:lncRNA from 1 species